rnacentral:rRNA from 1 species
GAUGAACGCUGGCGGCGUGCCUAAUACAUGCAAGUCGAGCGAACGGACGAGAAGCUUGCUUCUCUGAUGUUAGCGGCGGACGGGUGAGUAACACGUGGAUAACCUACCUAUAAGACUGGGAUAACUUCGGGAAACCGGAGCUAAUACCGGAUAAUAUUUUGAACCGCAUGGUUCAAAAGUGAAAGACGGUCUUGCUGUCACUUAUAGAUGGAUCCGCGCUGCAUUAGCUAGUUGGUAAGGUAACGGCUUACCAAGGCAACGAUGCAUAGCCGACGAGAGGGUGAUCGGCCACACUGGAACUGAGACACGGUCCAGACUCCUACGGGAGGCAGCAGUAGGGAAUCUUCCGCAAUGGGCGAAAGCCUGACGGAGCAACGCCGCGUGAGUGAUGAAGGUCUUCGGAUCGUAAAACUCUGUUAUUAGGGAAGAACAUAUGUGUAAGUAACUGUGCACAUCUUGACGGUACCUAAUCAGAAAGCCACGGCUAACUACGUG